rnacentral:rRNA from 1 species
UGAACGCUGGCGGAAUGCUUUACACAUGCAAGUCGAACGGCAGCACGGGGGCAACCCUGGUGGCGAGUGGCGAACGGGUGAGUAAUACAUCGGAACGUGCCCGGUCGUGGGGGAUAACGUAGCGAAAGUUACGCUAAUACCGCAUACGAUCUGAGGAUGAAAGCGGGGGACCUUCGGGCCUCGCGCGAUCGGAGCGGCCGAUGUCAGAUUAGGUAGUUGGUGGGGUAAAGGCCUACCAAGCCGACGAUCUGUAGCUGGUCUGAGAGGACGACCAGCCACACUGGGACUGAGACACGGCCCAGACUCCUACGGGAGGCAGCAGUGGGGAAUUUUGGACAAUGGGCGCAAGCCUGAUCCAGCCAUUCCGCGUGCAGGACGAAGGCCUUCGGGUUGUAAACUGCUUUUGUAUGGAACGAAAAGGCUCUGGCUAAUACCUGGGGCUCAUGACGGUACCGUAAGAAUAAGCACCGGCUAACUACGUG